CAGUCGCCACGGUAAUACGUAGGUGGCAAGCGUUGUCCGGAAUUAUUGGGCGUAAAGGGCUCGCAGGCGGUUUCUUAAGUCUGAUGUGAAAGCCCCCGGCUCAACCGGGGAGGGUCAUUGGAGACUGGGAAACUUGAGUGCAGAAGAGGAGAGUGGAAUUCCACGUGUAGCGGUGAAAUGCGUAGAGAUGUGGAGGAACACCAGUGGCGAAGGCGACUCUCUGGUCUGUAACUGACGCUGAGGAGCGAAAGCGUGGGGAGCGAACAGGAUUAGAGACCCCAGUAGUCCCUGUCUCUUAUAU
rnacentral:rRNA from 1 species